rnacentral:rRNA from 1 species
UACGAAGGGGGCUAGCGUUGCUCGGAAUCACUGGGCGUAAAGGGUGCGUAGGCGGGUUUUUAAGUCAGGGGUGAAAUCCUGGAGCUCAACUCCAGAACUGCCUUUGAUACUGAGAAUCUUGAGUACGGGAGAGGUGAGUGGAACUGCGAGUGUAGAGGUGAAAUUCGUAGAUAUUCGCAAGAACACCAGUGGCGAAGGCGGCUCACUGGCCCGUUACUGACGCUGAGGCACGAAAGCGUGGGGAGCAAACAGG